CUUCAUGAUUCCUGUAGGAUGAGAAGCAGACAGCUGUGUUUGGCUUUUACCUGGUAAUCUAGACUCUGUUUCACUUUUAUUUGCAUGGUCUUCUCAUUGUUGAGUGGAUCUUUCAUUGUGUUCUUGCUGAAUGGGACUGCCUAUCAUCACUCAUCUUUUGGAUGCCAGGAAUUUCAGGGAGCAAGAAGGACUUUAGGAUAAUCCCAUGAUCCUAGGAGAAGGCUGACGUGAGCCAGCCUGAGGAAACUUCAAGAAGUGCUGCAGGAAUUAACCGGGGAAUCCCUAAGGGUCCAAAAGGAUCUUCAAGAUGCCUCAGUUCUACCUAGAUGUUGUAGGGGCAGAGCUGAUUUGAAAGCCGGUGGUUCAUGGCACACCUCCCAAUUAUCUGUGGAUUCAUGAUCCACAGAAAAAUAAAGAAAACAAAGCCCUGCAGCCCAAGCAGAGCCAUACAGACAGGAAAACACUAGGUUGGGAGACUGAAAAAAAAAAAAAAGAAGAAGCGCUUAAGUGUGUCAGCCUCAUUCCUUUAAACAGACUCCACUUAGAGGCAGAUGCACAUACACACACACACACACACACACACACACACACACAUAUCCAACACUCGCAAGCCUCCCACAGGCACACAGCCCAGCAGCUACUGAGGACGCAUGGUUCUGCCGAAAGCCCCACCUGGGAGAGAGUAACCUGUUGGAACACAGGCAGGCUGUAUCUAGAAAUCACAGUGGGGCAAGUUUAAAAAAGACUCACCCCCACAACAGCUAUACAGGCCUGAGGAAUCCUGCAGAUACUUUUGGAUUCUUACAGAUUUCACAAUUUAUUCCUGGGGUUGUGCUUGAGGUUGCUUUAGGCUAGCUCACAUCUGCCCUCUCUUGGGAUCAUGGGACUAUCUGGAGAAUCCAACAGAAAAGAGGCGAGAGCCCACUGCCAUUGCACCUACACAGAGGCCUCCUUUGCCGCCAAGCCAAGGGCCUUGUAGUUAGGCAACGAUGACAAUUGUUUUGACACAAGCCAGGGCUCAUAAUCAGGCCUCGUUCCCUGAGUCUAGCACAUGCGCAGUCCUGAGGCAGGCAAGGAUGUCUGGCUGUCAGAACUGUCAGCCUGCCUAAGCACAGGAAAAUACUGCAGACCAAACUGGCCUGGUGUUGCAAUAAAGGCUGCCUGCGAAUACCCACUGUGGGACACUAAAUUUCUCCACGACAGGGCCCCUUGGGGCCAUCUCUGUGGUCUGGUCCCACUGGAGGAGGAGGCAUUUUCAGACUGUGAGGUGGUCACUGGAAACUGCUCUUCUGACUUUAUUCUCCAAAGAGGCUGUGGGCAAGAAUAGGGUCCCAUGGGGAUUGGAAUAUAGUCUGGUGUGUUUCUGAAGGUACUUUCGGUGAUAGAAACAUCUGAGAUCCCAGAGGUGGGUGCCAGCAAAAGAUGGUCAGGCUCUUGACCUCACUGCCACCCUUCAUCCUGAGCCUCACAGGGGCUCUUUGGGAGAGGCAGAAACCACAACAAAGGCAAGUCCAAGGUGGAGCAGUGUUCUCACACCUCGGACUGGCUUCUUGCAGGUUCACAUGAGGUUAAGAAAGUAUCUCAGAAGAUGUCUGUGGCAGUGCAAAGUCUGAAAGGGUGUCCAGUAGUGUUGUUGAGGGGCACUGUGUAUUCCCCUUGAAAGCAAAGAAAAAUCAAGGCUUGCCUGAGAGAAAGAGAUGCAUUAUGGCAGAGUACAAGCAAUGUUCAAUGACUCCUGUCAGAGGACCAAAAAGACUCCUGCAAAAUGUAAACAACCUCAGCCCCCACAACGAGACAACAUCCCACAACAUGAAGGGCAGCUGACAUACCCGAAGUCCGUUUUGCUGUCUGAAAUUCCUGGCAGCUAACUACUCUGUGGGGAGAGGCAGUCCCAAGCAGCAACAGCCCAAUGAAGGAGCCAGCCCCUCCACAGUGAAAAGAACAUGCAGAUGAGGUGAAAAAUACACUAGAUUAUGAGGCAAAAAUCAAACACGGCUACCUGCUUUUCAUCCUGCAGAAAUCAUGCAGCACUCUGAUAGAAGUGAGAGAACAAGAGUUCCCUUGCUGGUGGAUGUAAUGGGAAUUUACAGUUUUAAAAGUAUCAAAUCUGCCCAGUCAUUAAAAAUGACAGUGUUUAGAAGGAAACUCUCACACAGUGGAUUCCCAUGAGGAUCAUUCUCUGUGAACUGGAAAAAGUUUACUGUGGAAGUCUUUGAGCCAUAACCAGGAAACCCUAGGUCAAUGAGAAACAUGGAAGUCCAGAAAAGAAGAGGCAAGUGUGGAGGUCAUAUCUCACCCAGCAUCAAUCCAUUCCAUUCCAAUUUGGCUUUGGGUAUGAAAGCCCUCAAAUCAGGAGUGUACCAGGAUGGCCCCAAUUUGCACUCCA
rnacentral:lncRNA from 10 species